rnacentral:rRNA from 1 species
CCUACGGGAGGCAGCAGUGGGGAAUUUUCCGCAAUGGGCGUAAGCCUGACGGAGCAAUACCGCGUGAGGGAUGAAGGCUCGUGGGUCGUAAACCUCUUUUCCCAAGGAAGAAGUUCUGACGGUACUUGGGGAAUAAGCAUCGGCUAAUUCCGUGCCAGCAGCCGCGGUAAUACGGGAGAUGCGAGCGUUAUCCGGAAUCACUGGGCGUAAAGCGUCUGUAGGUUGUUUGUUAAGUCUGUUGUUAAAAACUGAAGCUCAACUUCAGGGGUGCGGCAGAAACUGGCAAACUUGAGUAUGGUAGGGGUAGGAGGAAUUUCUAGUGUAGCGGUGAAAUGCGUAGAUAUUAGGAAGAACACCAUUAGCGAAGGCGUCCUACUGGGCCAAAACUGACACUCAGAGACGAAAGCUAGGGGAGCAAACGGGAUUAGAUACCCCGGUAGUCCUAGCCGUAAACGAUGGAUACUAGAUGUCGCGGGUUUACCUGCGGUGUCGUAGCUAACGCGUUAAGUAUCCCGCCUGGGAAGUACGCACGCAAGUGUGAACUUAAAGGAAUUGACGG